CUCAGUCCUGCCUGUACACUGGACAGGGAACACCCUCGAUGGUUUCUUACGUAGCUCUUUCUGGGUGUGGAAAGUACUGCUGCUGUAACACCCUCUCUGUGGCACCGUGACUUGGUCUUCCUGGGAAGCCAGGGCUUGGAGCUUCCGGUGUCAGGCGUGAUCAGGAGUGAAGAGCCCCGUGCCAAGCAAGGACUGUUGGUUCGAUUGCUCUGGGCAUUUACCCGGGCUGCUGAGCCUGCAGGAAAUCGCACCAUGUAGGUUUCCUAGAAGCUUUCCGUGCUUCGUGAUCCUGGCUGGAAGGAAGCCUGGAAGAUCUAGACAGGAGAAAUAAGGGGACGGAAGUUGUCUGCUAAUGUGCGCUGGUGGUGUUUAGUGGAGGAAAUUUCAUUUGGAGAAUCAAAUUCUAAGCAGCCUACAGGUCAAGAAGGUCAAUAUUAUUCUGUCCUCAGGAUGCUACCUGUAGGUAAAGUUAUUUGAAGCUCCACCGACCCUGUCUUAUCCUUGGAAUUUUUCCGAUGACUUUAAUACAGACAGGAGAGUUGACAACAACAGAAACUAAAGCUGCAACAGUGUGAUUUAUUAUGGAGCACAGUUAUCAGAAGAGACAAAGCCAGCAUCGAUGGAGAGCAGCCACACAAGAUCCACCCUUGCCUCAGAGGCAGCAGAGGGCUGACGUCACAUAAACGGCCACAGAAAAGCAGUUAAAUGAUUUUCUAUGUGUUCUUCGGGGAGGCUGUAUCUAAUCUGAUGCAGUUGCUCCACGGGAGCCCUGCUAAUGACAUCUCCACCAAAUAUCAGCUCAAUAAAUUGCUUCCCUUCAUUAAUCUGAUUGUCAGUGUCUGCCUUAAUGGUGUUUACCCAGCAGAAGGGCUAAGGGAGAUAAUAAAGACUUUUUUAGUGGCAUAUGAGGGCGGAGUAGAUAGAGUGGCUAUAGUGGGUCUCUUGGUUCUGGUGGAUCAAAGUCAAUUUCUUUACUUCCGGUCACUCUACAGUUAUUCUGAGUGACCACUUUAUGCCUGGUUUCAUGUUACAGCUCAUAUACCAACCAACACAAAGCUUCUAGGCAACUGAAGUGGGACACAAGUCAUCACCCACAUGCACAACUGACCGUGAUAAAAUGUUCUAAGGGAAUGAUGUAGCUCUCUGAAAGAAUAUAACGGGAGAUCAAAUUGGGAUGGAGAUGGACCAUUUUUCUUCCAGAAAAAUCAAGACUUUUGGCUUCAAAGUCUUCAACUGAAAUAGGAUGACUUAGAAGUCACAGGAGUCAAGGCAGAGAGGAGAGGGCGCGGGGCGCGGGGCGCAGGGCGUGGGGCGCGGGGCUCAGGGCAUUUGAGAGCAAGAGAACCUACAGGACCUUCGCAUCAGCUGCCGGGCCAUUUUCUCUGUUUGUUUCAACUUUGCAAGUUGAGUUUAAUUCAAGUUCAGAGUGUUGAGUGUGAGUGAAGCACACAGUGGUGAGGUACAAAGGCAAGACAAGAGAGCAAAGAGUUUAACGCCAGUGUGCACAGACGGGAAACGGAACAGUGCUGUGAGAGCCAGGAUCAUAUGAGGGUGGAGUAGAUAGAGUGGAUCAGGGGCUUGAGAGCCAGGAGAGAGCAUCCUGGAGCCCCAGUGCGUGCUGCUUAAGAAGAGUGGUGUCAUUUGUUUACUUGUGACAGUAUCUCCAUGUAUAUAUAGCUCAGACUGUCCCCAAGCUUGCCAGCUUCCUGACUCCACUCCACCACCCCCAGUCUAUAAGUCUGUUAUUGAGGCUUCAUGUAUUAAGGCUAUUUCAUAUAGAGACUUGGGUCACUGACUCUUACAUGUAAACAUGCUUCUUACAGGCAAAAGCCACGUCAACUGUACAUCACACAGAGCAAUCUUCUUUAUUCAAUGGAUUAUGUAAAAGUCACCAUCCAGCAGCACCCCUCACACAACACCUACAAUGAUAUUUAGCCAAGAUUUGAGCAUCUCUUGGUCCAGUCAAGUUGACAUAAUCACCUCCCAUCACAUUUAUCUCCCUUCCUCAGCCAUCCACAAUGUGGGUCCACUCUCACAUGAGGAUGUUGGGACCUAUGUCCCAGAAUAAGCUUUGUUGCUUGUUACUUUUUCAGUGAAGAUUGAAAGACUUAGAUCGACCACAAAGUGUUUCCUGAUUCCUCCAGUUAGAUGUGUAAGGGUAAUAUAUGGAUAGUCGUGGCUCUCUUUAGGAGUGCCGAAGUAACUGAACACUACCUCUGCUGACCAUAAAAUGUGCAUGUGACCAUCUCACAAGAACAGAAGUCCCCUCUCCCAGCUGUUGCACUAGCAUUCUGACUAGCGUUCUGAGCUCAUCAGUGACAGCAGAGACCAUUUGUGUAAUAGUCAUGUGUGAACGACAAUCCACACACAGUAUCUCUGAGCAGUGGUGUGAUGUUUAGGUAGUUCACCUCUAUUUCCAAUCACAUAGCCCUAUGAUGAGUUGUAUGUGUCUCUUUGGGUAUGACUUGGAGCCCUCACUAGGUGGGUAUUUUCCUUGUUUUUUACUUAAAUCUUCUGGUUCAUCUAAUCAGGAGUCCUGGGACUUCUUGGGUCCUCUUGUCCAUAACAUCAAACCUUCCAAAACCUACGAGUUAUAGAGUCCAGAAGACAGAAAUAUCUGGUCCCAAGUAUCUCGACUGGUUCUAGCAGCAGCAAUGUUAAUCCAAGGGCAGAAACAGAGCAUUCAAGAACAAACAGCCCACUGGAGCGAACACUGUCUUUGCUGUUUCUGCCUCCAAUUCAUUGAGCGUGGGAGCAGAUAUAACGGGCAACCGAAUACAUCAUCACAAACAUUCUUCUCCUCAGAAGUCACAUUUAUUAUAAUUUUUUUCUGUGUCAGGCUCCAGGUUCUGUCUGUCCAAAACCUCAUUUAAUUCUCACAACUGGUCCCUGAAUUGAACAGCUCAAAAUAUGGAUUUGGCCAAUUCAUCUUCAUGGUAGAUGGAAAAAUAUGAUAUAUUCAAGUUUUCAAAAGGAAAGUGGUAAUUUUUUUUAAAAAAAUAAAUACUGAUUUGUAAUC